GAACCCGUGAAAGGAACUUUCCUAGAGUUA
rnacentral:piRNA from 1 species